UUGUUGGAUAUUCGUGAUGUUGUGCGAGAAAUCAUGGGUAAAGAUCAAGCUCCUUGUGGUCACUUAAUUAUUACUAUGGUAUUGUUUAUACCAAGCUUGAUUUGAUCCUGAGAUGAUCGUGUAAUGUCCGAGGUGGGUAAGUGAUGCACGUGAUGGUUACGAGAUAACCCGAGCAGAAUAAUUGGUGCAUAUAGUGUCAUCAUGUUGCAUGCUAGUAUCAUCAGGUUUAUAUGUUCAUGCUAUGCUCAUAUUGUUCUAGUUGUAUCAGGUUCAUAUUGCCUUUGUAUUCUUAGUGGCUAUUAUGAUUAUUUUCAUGAUGGUAUCUGGUAUUAUUUGGAGUAUUACUUUGGAUAUCAUGUGCUCAUGUCAUGUUGUUAUAAUGAUGUCAUGUUAAUUCCUGCUUAACCUGUAAUUGCCAUGCUGUUGUUUGUCUUGAAUGCUUCUGGUUAUUGUGAGCUUGCAAGUACAUUCAAUGUUCUGACCUGGCGUGUCAUGCCAGCUUGUAGGUCGUGCCUGGAUUGCUUGCUUGUUUGGUGUUGUUCUUGUGUUUGCGUGCUAGGAUAAACGUUCCAGCCAGAGUCCCUGCGGAUUGGAGUCCAUCAUCGCCGUUCGUUGUUCCGCUGCCAGUAGUUGUUUCCGCUGCUUCAAGUAUUAUGCUGAUUGUAUAGAGCAACCGUGGUUGGCGUAGUGUCGCCGUGCCAAAGUAUUCAUUGUAAUAUCGGAACCCUUGUUAUCAUAUUUGUGUAGUAAUAGAGAGCUGGUUUGUUCUAUGCUAAGUAGUGCCGUAUUCCAGAAGACUUCACCUUGAUCUCUGGGCUGGAAUACGGGGCGUUCCGGUUUUCUCUGAGCCGGGGUGCCACAACACUUGGUAUCAGAGUAGGUCUGGCUAUAGAGCGUCCUAGUCCGCUGGAACGUUAGAAAACGGUAACAUAGGGUCUGGUUGUUGCCCUUUCUUGUUGCAUUUGUUUGAUGGAUAUAGUCUUAUUGCGGUUACCAUUAACCCCUGUUUCAUGCGUAGAUGGUGGUCAACUUCCAUGAGUUCAGUGCUCUUCCCUUAGCUUCCGGUGUUGUUCUUAUGGAGUUCAGUCCCACUCCUGCGCCUCUCAGCUUUGCCGCCCUCCUUGGCGACAUGUGGCGUAGUAUUUAUCCCCUCGGAGAUCCACAUCAUUAUCAAGUAUUCCAGUUUUCUGCUGGAGGAAGAAUUCAGGAAUAUGUUUCUCAUGUUCAUCUGUCAGCCCCGAUUCCUGUCGGUAAGCGCACCUACAGUUUCCACGGUGGUUACGGUGCUACUCUAGAGCGUGCCGUUCAGCUCGCCGCAAUGGCAGGAGUCACCAGUCUUCGUCACAAAGAGAGCAUGGUGCAGGAGAAUCAUGCUUAUCAAUAUUAUCCCACCAUCACCGAGAAUCCUAGGCGAAUCCAAUUUCCCUCCGUCAACCCUCAAGACGACCCGGCUAUCCUAGCCAUGUCUCGUUACAUGACGGCCGAGUGUCUUCUUAUUUCUAAGUUAGUCCGAGAUGCCAUUCGGACCAGGAGAUUUCUUGGUGUCGCUUUACCUUAGUCUCUGCCAGCUUCUCCAACUCCUCCGCCACGUCCAUCCGGAACUUCAGAGUCCGCGGUUCCACUCGCUACUCCCUUAGCUUCCUCGUCAGUUCGCGAGCAUUUUCUCAAGCGUAGGAUGUAGUCCUUCGUGUAGCGCUUGUGAAUCCGCUGUAGUAUCAUGCUUGUGUGUGUCUGUGUGGAGCAGCUUUGUAUCUUGUUUGCUGUGUACUUUGUUGCAAUAAAUUGUUUUCUUGUGCUUCUUUGUUUUUAAUCCCCGGUGUUACCCCCUUAUGGAAAUUUUUCCUCGACCGACACCGAAUCAGAAGGAGCCGUAAGCAGUACAGAUAUACACCAAGGAAGUCAGUUAAAAUCAAUGAGGUUUUCAGCCGACAACAUUGUAUUGCAGACAUCCGUCCUGAUACAAAUUGUAUUUUGAUUAGACUUUCAGCAACAAGUACCUGUCAGAGAUACACUUUAUCACAUUAAAGAUUAAAUCAGCAAGAGAACAAAAUUGGAUCGACAGUGCAUUUCAAGUCAAGGGUAUGGGCUAUGCACAAUGAUUGAAUCUGACAUAAGUCAAAAUUUAAAUAUUGCGACACCCAGAAGUCAGUCCAAUUGCACGGUGAAUUCAGUAAGGACAGUCAGACAAUUCCUGUCAUAUCAAUAAUCAAUUGCCGUACUGACAAAUAUAUAUAUAUAUAUAUAUAUAUAUAUAUAUAUAUAUAUAUAUAUAUAUAUAUAUGUCAUUCCCAUCACCAAGAAAAUCAGUCCCAUCCUUCUCCACAAUGUAUUGACAAAGUGUAAAUAGAUAAGGUUCCCAGUCUGCAUCGAUAGGGUAUGAAUGGAUUCCCAUGCAAGAUAUUCAGUCUUCUCGAUAAAAUACUGCAAAAGCUUCCGGCUUAAGGUACCGAGGCUUCCCUAGCAAGUCUUUAAGGGGGUAAGCUUAUAAGGUACGGUACCCCGAUCUCCUUAAUAAGAUAUCCACUGAUGGCUUCGAGCAUAAGCCCCCAAACCUUCCUCAGCACGAUACCCCGAUUGCUUCUUAACGCAAGCUUCCCAGUAUUCUUCUGUACGGCACUAAUACAAGACAUUAAAUUAUGAAUUGUCAGCAUAUGGAAGUGUUUUCCAAGUGGCAUAUCUGCAACAACAAGUCUUGAAGGAAAGAUCACAUUGAGACCAUAAUCUUGGCAGUGAUUAUAAAAAUCAGCCUCACAAGGUGAUAUUAUUAACCCCGUCACUGUCCGGCAUAAUCCACAACACGAUUGAUAUCUGUAUAACCACACGUGAGCCGGAUAAGUAUACCGAGGCUCAAAACCUGAACCAGACCAAUGUAUGUCAGUUAUUAUGUGAAAAAUGUGGAUGCCCAAGACUGUCUUAUUCCACGGCAAACCCAAGCAAAGAACCACCCAAGAAGUAUACUCCAUUGUGGUACUGGACAACUCAAUAUAUUAACCUCAACACCCAUGAUGGAGCUUUGCACAGACUGUUGUUCCCAGAGAGAUACUGGCAACAAUGAAGAAUCCGUGUGAAAACAUAUAUGUUGAGGAUCGUUAUCUCUCACAUAGGGGAAGCAAUGAAAGGAAUAGCCUAUGUAAAUGGGAUUCUUUGCCAAGAUCACCGGCAGUCAAGUUUGCAAAUCUUAUCAUCAGGAGAUGGUGCAUUUUUUCUAUCAGUCGCGACAAGCAAAAGUCAAACCUUUGGGACAACCUGGAUACUCUAGACUGUGAAGCCAGUCAAGAUAACUCAAAAACUCAUGCAAGAUGUCAGCAUCCGUUAGCAGAAAUAAAUAUGAUCCACAUCACUAUUUUGGAACUAGAAGGCAUGUCUAUAUUCAAGGAAUCCGAUGCCUGGAUAAAAAGGAUUCGUUGUUCCACGGGAAGAUAUAUUCCCCAACUCCGUGGAAUGUUCUCGGUACUCGAUACUAGAAUAUCAUUUUCAGCAAGGAUCAAUAUCAAGAAGGACAAGUAUGUCCGUAAAAAUAAUAUUUUGGAUGCUAGCUCAGCCAAAGAAAAUUUUGAGGGACAUCUGAGGUACGUCCUGUCAGAAUGUCAGAUCCAGUGAAGCAAACCACCCCAGAUCAAGACAAUCAGUCAGAUCUAAUUCAGUGGAAAUAUUAUGAAUAAAAGAAACCUGAGUGGGAAACGGUUUCUUCAAGUCAGAAAGAUUAUUUAACCCUGAGCAACCAAAUCUCGAGGAUGAGAUUUCUUUAAGGGGGGGAAGGUUUGUAACAGCCUGGAUUUUUGCCCUUUUCUUUUUUCCUUUGAUUUUCUGGGAUUUCCUGUUUGGAUUUGCUUUUCCACGGCUAUGAGGGUCUGAAACCUGGGAAUAUCAUGUCUUCCUAGGUUUUAUAGUGGCUUGUCGCCCUCAUCAUCAUCUCAAGAUCAUCUCAUUUCCAUCCUUGACCUAACCCAAAAUUAUUUUGUUGGUAAUAUUCCUUUUCUGAUAAAGGAAUAACCCUUAAAACCCUAUGUUGUGAAGCAACCUAUAUUUCUGUCACUCCUAAAAUUCCCAAAUAAUUCUCAUAAAUUGUUUGGGUCACAUAUUCCUCAAAUAUGGCAAAAUAUUUCAUUGCCAUGUUCAAAACUAAUCCUCCAAUAAUUCUUUUCCUAUUCUGCCCUAAAUGGCACUUUGCAAAGGAAGUGCUGUUUAUAUUUGCUUGAUUGACCCCAAAUUCUUGGACAUCUUUCACUGUCCAUAUCAUUGGAUCAUGCCAAAAUUUAGCUCAAUUUGCCUAGUAAAUAUUUUUCAGCAAUUUUCGAAAGUUUCUGUCCAGGAAGGAACUUUGUGAAGGAGCUAUAUUCUAGGCAUAUCCAAAUGAGUUGCAAUUUUCGCAGGGUCUUUCCUAGUGUAAAAUAAUGACUCUCCACAAAAUAUGAGCUCAUGUAACUCAUCUAUGUGAGCCUAGCUCCAAAUCUUAGUUUCUGGUCAGAUUUUCAGUUUAUGAAGCAACCAUAUUUUAUAUUGCUUCAAUUAGGCUUAAACUUUACCAGGACAAGCUUCUACCUAUAUAAACUAUUCCCAACAAGUUUUACCUCAAAUGGUUGAUCCAAUUACCCUGUGUAAUUUUUCCAAGUUUCUGUCGAGAAUGGAGCUUUGUGAAGCAAGUGCCACUUUGGUAUUUCCAAAUGGCAUGAAAUUUUUACAGAAGAUUCAUAUCAUCAUAAAACCCCUCUAUGCCAAGUUUCAGCUCACAUAGAUCAAGUAUGUGAGUGCAUCAUCCAAAUCCCCAAUUCUGGCCAGUUUUGCACUUUCUACUGCAACCACCAUCUAAACUCCUCUUAGUCUGAUUUUUGUUGAUCCGCAUCACUUUAGUGUGUGAUCAUCGCCAGACAAACUCUUUACCUUGUUACCUUGCUGGUUUAACCAUAGCAAGUUACAAACACCUUGUUACUGAUUUACUUUUGGAGCUAAGUGCAAAUCUCUUUUUUGCCCCUGGACCGAUUUAUUUCUUCAGUUGGACUAAGGGCACUGGGGUCCAUCCACUGGACAUGGUUGGCCACGCCAAAGAGCGCCGCUUGCGCCAGUGCGCGUGGUGAUCACGCUUGCGUCAUGGCUGCAUGCGUGCUCUGGAUUGUUCCGGCCACUAUGCUCGUCUCCUCCCUCCUUGCCUCGACCUCAAUUCGUGUCCUAGAGCUUCCCCGUGAACGACUGCAUCUCCCUGCAAUGGAGCCUCGUCGUGGUUCGCCAUUAAUGCGUUGCUAGAGUAGUGCCCAUGCCGUGCUCAGCCCCUGACCUCUAUUAGUGCACUGCUCCAGCUCGGUUGUGAGCACCAGAGCCAUUCCCGCGGCUAUUUAAGUGUGCCCCGAGCCCCUCCGCAGCUCAUCCACUCCUCACUUGCCUCCCUAGCCCACCAGAGCCCUCAGCCUGCUCCUCUUUUAGCCGGAGUUCUCCAUGGCCGCCUCGGCCUCGGCAUGAUUCCAGCCAAGCCAGCCCUCCUCUCCUCCUUCCAAGCUGUCCACCAGAGCCUCCUUGCCACAGCGGUUCGCCCCAACACCUUACCCCUCGCUGGAGAGCCCCGUGGCCGCGCCUCCCGGAGGUUGGCUGUUGCCGUUGCUCUCGGCCACCACCUCGACCGUGACCAUCCAAAGCUCCUUCCUCCCUCCUGACUCCACCACUGCGUUCCCCUCGUCCUGUAGAGCCGCCCCACCCCCUCAUCUCUCGCCGGAGCGCCCUGCUUCACCGGAAAUCAUCACCACCGCCGCCUCUCUGUCCACCUCCAUCGCCGCGGCCUCCCGUCCUCUCCACCCCUCCCCAGCAUCCGAUUCCUCUCUGAACGGGUGCGGCACGCCACCCUGAAGCCGCCGGUGCCCUCGCCUUGGCCUGGAGCGGCCAGAGUCGGUGGGGCUAGCACCGGCAACGCUCCUGUCCCCCUCUCCUGCUCUCUGUCGUGACCGAGCAUGGGGGGAGGAAGAAGACGAUCGCUUGCCCCCCUGCUGCGUGGGACCCCUCUAUAAGUGGCUAAGGCCACGGGUCCACGUGGAUAAGUGACGACGUAAUCCGGUGAGUACGUUUUCACUAUCCGAAGACGUAUUACAUGGGAAUACGUUUUCUUCUUCCAAAAGCACAUUUCUUUCCUCAGCUGCUAGGAAUACAUUUACAUUUUCAAAAAGCGUAUUUCCUAAUAUGCGUUUCUGUCUUAUCCACUCAGGGACCCAUUGGUGAUGAAAACUUUCACAGAUUGGUCCCUGAUCUUCUACACCUUAUAACUCCGCAACCGUAACUCCGAUUGAGGUGAAACCAGUGCUCACUUCUUCGUCUCGUCGAGCUAUAUCUUUUGGUAACAUUUUCACCAGGUGGUUUCACAGUGAAAAUGAAUAUUUUUCCCUUGCCUCCAAUCAGCCUCCUCCGAGAGAAAACCGUCCGCGUUUCGUUCCGCGGCUUCACCGCACUUCUUCCUGCAGUCUCCGUCACCCCAGGCAAGCCACAAUACCCACUUGCAUGAUAGUCAUGCAGUAGCCAUGGUUUUCAACUUGAAUAUUUAUUAAAUGAUUGCUUGUUUAAAAUAUGGUUAUCGUUGUUUCGAAAAUGCUUCUGGGAUUAUGCUUACUUGUUUGUUAUGUUGCUAUGCACCUGGUUAUCCUGCCCUGCUAGUUGCUAGUAUUAUUUUCAUAUUACCAUGCUUGAUAGUAGUACAUGUUGGGUUGGUCAUGUUCUUCGGUGCAUAAUUAACAUCGGUUAUCGAGACUGUUACUAUGCAUUGUUCCUUUGCUGUUAGUUGGUUAAGUGUUACUCGGUAAUAUUAUUGAUGAGUUCUUGCAUGUUAUUUAUGGUUGAUGAUAAUGGUCAUGUUAUGCUAUGAGUAGUGUUGCACUUGUAAUAUUUAUGCUCGUCAUUAUGCCAUGUUCAUUUGGAUAUUAUUUCAUAGUUGAUGUGGUGGAUAGUUAUGUUGCAUCCCGUGAUUAUGUUGAUAUCAUGCUCAUGCAUUGUAAUUGCAUCAUGUUAUUUUAUCAUGGCUCAACAUUUUGCAUUCAAGUUUAACCGGAUUUAAUUGAACUUGAACAACUGUUGGCUGAGUCAUGGUGCCGCCAGAUCGAAACUGACCAGUGCAACCACACUUACCAUAUGGGUAAGGUCCUAACUGGGUCUAUUGUCGUGCAUCUCGCCGGUGCCUCCAACUAGGUAAGGUUAUGGGCGUGCGGUACCCUGGCCCAGUAAGCAGACAUAAUCUUGUGUGCCCAUUGUUUUUGUUUUUAUGGAUCCCGUACCCGUGAGGGAGUUUUGACCACGACGGUUGUCGGGGUGUCUAUGGUAGACACGGGGCCACCCAGGACUAGUCUAGUUGGGAGUGGUUUGGAGUGGCCGGGAGAGUGUCACGGCAGUAGAUCGGUUUUGUCGAAACGCCGUUGGUCCACCCAAAUGGGAGUUCGAUGCCAUGGGUUCCGUGGUGUGGGUACUGUGUGCUACCUCUGCAGAGUGUAUAUUAAACCUAUCGAUAGCCGCACCCACGCAUAAGGGCCCAGUUCGUGUCUGUCCCACUGUGAGUUAACAAUAUUAAUAAUAACUUGAUUAAUGACAACCCCGGUUCGGUGAUGAAAUAAGUUGGUGGUGAUCACCGUAAGGAUCACGAGUUACUUUGGUGGUGAUCGCCGUAAGGAUCACGAGUUACUUUGGUGAUGAUCGCCGUAAGGAUCAUGAGUUACUUUGGUUGUGAUUGCCGUAAUGAUCACCGUGGUAUCGAGGAUACUGAGUUGUUGGAUAUUCAUGAUUUUGUGCGAGAAAUCAUGGGUAAAGAUCAAGCUCCUUGUGGUCAUUUAAUGACUACUAUGGUAUUGUUUAACCAAGCUUGAUUUGAUCCUGAGAUGAUCGUGUAAUGUCCGAGGUGGGUAAGUGAUGUGCGUGAUGGUUACGAGAUAACCCGAGCAGAAUAAUUGGUGCAUAUAGUGUCAUCAUGUUGCAUGCUAGUAUUGUCAGAUUUAUAUGUUCAUGCUAUGCUCGUAUUGUUCUAGCUGUAUCAGGUUCAUAUUGCCUUUGGAUUCUUAGUGGCUAUUAUGAUUAUUUUCA
rnacentral:lncRNA from 1 species